CCUGCGCAGACGACGGCGUCCGUCCAUCACCAUGGCAGCAUGCGCUGGGGGCCCAGGAUCCUGGAGUGAAAAUAUACUGGAUUAUUUUCUCAGAAACAAUCAGAUCACGACAGAAGAUGGCGCUGAGAUCGUCUGGUAUCACGCAGCCAACCACAAGUCCCAGAUGCGUGAGGCACUGAGGAGUGCUGCCCACAUGAUAGAGGCUGAUGUCCUUCUUCCUAGUGAUGGAUCAGAGCACGGCCAGCCAAUCAUGGCCCAUCCUCCUGAGACGUACAGUGAUAACACUCUGCAGGAGUGGCUGGCUGAGGUCAUCAAGAGCAACAAGGGCAUCAAGCUGGAUUUCAAGAGUCUGGCAGCCGUCAGAGCGUCCAUGCUGAUCCUGGAGAAUGUGAAGCAUCUCCUUCAGCGUCCCGUGUGGAUCAAUGCUGAUAUUCUUCCUGGUCCAAAUGGAAGCAGCAAAGUCGUGGAUGCCAAAGCCUUUCUAGACACCGUGACGUCUUCCUUUCCAGAUGUGACCUUCUCCUUGGGUUGGACAACAGGCUGGCAUCCUGAGAAAGUCAAUCAAGGCUACAGCUGGACGAUGGUGAAAGAGAUGGCCUACAUAUGCUGUGGGCUGCCCCAGCCUGUCACGUUUCCUGUCAGGGCAGCUCUGCUCAGGCAGUCUUGUUCUCAGUUGCUGUGGCUGUUGAAGCAAUCAAACAGGUACAGCCUGACUGUUUGGACUGGAAAAGAUGACAAUUAUUCCACUGAAGAUUUACUUUAUAUUCGAGACUACUUUAAUAAAACCCAAGUUUUCUAUGAUAUUUUGGAUCCACAAAACCAUGAAUUUAAACAAGCCAUUGGGAUCCGAGUCCCUCUUUAAGAAAACAAGAAUUCACUUCUAAAUCAGUUUCUCUUUUGGCUUCAUAUCCUUCUCUGCUUUGUCGAAAUUAAUUACGGUAUUAAUAGUGAUUAUUGGUUUGUGCUAAAUUUAUCCAAUCAAAAUGUCUGUUGUGUACUUCCUCCACCUUUAUAAUGUCAUAUGGCUGUACGUAUGAAAGAUUUCCCAGCUGCAGUAAAACUGUCCAAGCUGCGUGUGCUAGAACAUGCUUUUAACCCUACAACUUAGGGGACUGAGGCAGGAAAAUCAAGAGUUCAAGGCCAGCCUGGACAACAUUGUGAUACCCUAUCUCAAAAACAAUUUUUAUAAAUUCUCUGUAAUCACCAGACAUUAAUUUUGUAAAAAAAAUUCAAUUAAUGAAUUGACUACUUUUUGAUGAAAUUAGAAGCACAAUAUAUUUGUCCAGAAUGAAAUACUUCCUAUCUAGCCCUUAACAAUUUUCUUGAAAAGUUUUCCUAUGUUUAUUUAUUUAUUUAUUUAUUUAUUUAUUUAUUUAUUUAUUGCAUGCAUGUGUAUGUGAGUGUGUCAGGAUGCAUAUGUAGCAGUCAGAGGAAAGUCUCUAGGCACAGGUUCUCCUCUUCCACCUGUGUGUCCUAGAGAUGACACGCAGGUUGUUAGGCUUGGCAGCAAGCACCUUUACUGCUGAGCUGUAUGUCUGGCCUCAUAGUCUGAAGACAAUAGUAUAUUCUAAGUGACACUCAAGAAGCUGCCACUUAGAUUUAGAUAUAAAGGAAUUAAGCUGUUCUAAGAAACAAAAGUGCUAAAAGAGAAUCAUGAGAUUUAUUCUACUGCAAAGUAUAUUCUGAAUGAUUACUUGUGUGGGUAAAUACCUGUGCUCAGGUCUUCACACCACACAUGACUGAAGAGCACCUUUGGCCUAGACACAAAGCCGAGCUUAGAAGGCAUUUGGCAGUGAGUGUAAAGACCUCCUGGCUUCUGAGACAGGCAGGAAGCACUAACUCUAAAAGAAAAUACAGAUAAAUGGAUGUGAACAAGCGUCUCAUCAAAAGAUACCAUUGAGAUAGCUCAGUAGUUAAGGGCCUUGACAGCUUUUCCACAAGACUCAAAGUUCAGUUCUUGACACCCACAUGGUGUCUCACCACCAUCUGAAACUCCGGAUCUACAGGAUGGAAUGCCCCCUGCUGGUCUUCUUGAGUACUGCACUCAUGUGGUGCACAGACACACAUGCAGGCAAAACACUUAUACGCAUAAAAUAAAAUUAAAUUCUUAAAAAAAAAAGCACUGGGGCGUAUCUGACAAAGGACUGCUAUUUUAUGUCAUGUACACCUAUAAAGUGGUAAAAAGUCAAAAGCUUGAAUUAAAAAUGAGGAAAAAUUGAUAGCUACACCAUGAAAUAAUAUAUUCACAUGCCCAAAGCAAGUUUUGCAGAAAAGGUUCUGGACAGUAUUACUGUUCAUCCAGGAAAGGCAGUUUAGGCCACAGUGAGAUACUAGUGCAUACAUCCCAGAACAGCUAACACUAGAAGGACUGGCAGCUUGUAGGGGGCAAAGGAAACAUUCCUGCAGUUUUCAGUAAAGACAGUAUCUCUGACUAGGAUCCAACCAUUGUAUCCAUAAGCAUGAAGUCAGGGGAGUUCCCAUGCUCACAGAGAAGAUCUGUGAUAGAAUUCUGGUAGCCGUUCUAUUCUGAGCCCUAGUUAGAAACAACACAUUUUCUUUUUUUUUUUUAAUUUAUUUAUUAAAGAUUUCUAUCUCUUCCCCACUGCCGCCUCCCCGAAACAACACAUUUUCACCAGCAAGAUGUAGACAGGGGUUUCUGUCCCGUCCGGUCCUGCAGCCAUUCGGUCGCAAAGAAAUACAUAGAGGUCUACUACAUUAAUUAUAAACUGGUUGACCUAUUAGCUCAGGCUUCUUAUUAACUAAUUUUUACAUCUUACUUACAUUAACCCAUUAUUCUUGUCUGUGUUAGCCACGCGGCUUGAUACCUUUGUCAGUGAGGCAUUCUCAUCUUGUUUCCUCUGUGUGUUACAACUGAAGAUUCGGCCUUUCCCCUCCAUAGAAUUCUCCUGUUCUCAUCGCCCCACCUCUGCUUCCUGCCUGUACUUCCUGCCUGGCUACUGGCCAAGCAGUGUUUUAUUAAAAAUAAUACAAGGGACAGGAUAAAAGACUGUUGUCCCGCAGCAGCAAGAGAACUGCUAAAUAUAAUUAACUUACUACACAGUGUUAAAAAAGAAGUCUGAACUGCUUAAUUCAUGUUGUAUGGAUAAUAGUAAACAGUGCAGAAGGAGUGAGGACAACAGAGUACACACUAUAUGGAUCCAUUCAAGGACACUGUCUUAGUUAGGGUUUCUAUUGCUGUGAAGACACACAAUGACUACAGCUACUCUUAUAAAGAAAAAUACUUAAUUGGGUGGAUUACAGUUUCAGAGGUUAUCAUCAUGGUAGGAAGCAGGCAAGUGUUCAGGCAGAUAUGAUGCUGGAGGUACCUGAGAGUUCUACAACUUGAUCCGCAGGCAACAGGAAGUGAACUAUAUACCCCACUGAGUGUAGCUUGAGCAUAGGAGACCUCAAAGCCCACCCCCGACAGGGACACACUUUCUCCAACAAGGCCACACCUACUCUAACAAAGCCACAUCUCCUAAUAGUGCCACUCCCUGUAGGGGCCAUUUUCUUUCAAAUCACCAUAGGCACCCAAAAGUAAUUUAUGGCAACAGAGGUUCAAAUGGUGAUUACUCAUAGGCAGAGUAUUGGAUGGGCAGUGGAACAAUUUGGAGAAGAGAUGAAAAUGUAACUGUGCCAACAUUUUUGAAAAGAAUAUUUGGGAAGAAAUUAUCGAGAUGUACAUUUUACUGUGUUGUAAGUUAUACAUAUCAAUCUUUGAUAGUAUUUUCACAGACCUUGAUGUAUAUAAAUUCAUAGAAUGCUAACAGACACUGAAAAGCCAGCUUCUGUUAAUGUGGAAAGAUAUUGUGGUUGCAAAACAGCACUACGGGAUGGUUGUAUAUGCAAAGCUGAUGUAUUCACAAGUACAGAGAAUUUUGGAAAGAAUCUCAAACAGAAAAUACUUGAUGCUUCCACAUUCCCAAGCCUUAGGUAUCGUUGUUGUCAUCCCAUAGCAUUGGAAUUCUGCUGCCAUGACUCACAAGAUCUUCCCACCUCAGAAGAGACACUGAACCCCAUUAAGUUUCCUGAGGCUCAGGGGGUAGGAAACGGAACAGACAUCUCCCUGUGCUGAGACUCUGCAAGUGUUUCUCUGGGACCCUAUGCUGGGACUCCAUCCAGGCUGACGUGAUGGUCACGGACACCAGAGAGGAAGCUUUGAGAUACUGAUGAGGUGCUUGGCUGCUCCAGGGACCAUGACCCACCAUAAGCAGGGAAGGAUUGUGAGAAUCCAGGGACCACAACCCCCACCAUAGGCAGGGAAAACCUCCACCCACCCAAUUCUAGACCUAGUUUCCUCUCCAAGAAAGACAUUCUUUUCCUCAAGUCAUCCUGUUUUCUAAGGACUCCACCUCAUCCCACUCCCACAGUGAUUUUGACUUUACUCCAUAUUUAAAUUAUUUCAUAACAUAGACAAUAAAACUUCCCACACAGUUCACAGUUACAAUAGCAAGAGAGUAGGGACUGUGGGAGACUGGCCAGUCUCCUGGCUUCUCCCCAUUGCUUUGUCCCUAUGCCUAGGAGGCUCACUGGAGCACCAGUCCAGUGACAUCUGGUGCCUGAGCCAUCUGGGUUUCAUUGCUGCUGUAUUCGCUCGCUCGCUUUCUUUGGAGUGAAAGAACAUAACAAAAGUCCAAAUUUUUAAUUAAGGUAUUUGGCUGUGAAAGUCUUGCUUCUUUGUCAGCCCAAGGGCUAAUUACGAAAGCAAAGAAACUCUAGGGCUCGGAGCAGAGCGCUCUUCUGAUGUGUACUGGUUACGGGUCUGUUGCUGUGAUUAGGCACCACGAACGAAGGUAAUUUAGGAAGGGUUUAUUUUGGCUUAUCAUUCCAGAGGGAUAAGAGUCCAUCAUGGUGAUGCUGAGGUAUGGUGGCAAGCGGCCGGAGCAGGAAGCCGAGAGCUCCUAUCUUCAAUGGCAAACAUGAAGCAGACACAGCAAAGGAGAAGCGAGAAGCAGGGGCAAGGCUGUGUAAUCUCAAAGCGCCCUGCAGUGACAGGCUUCCAGCAGCAAGGCUACAUCAUCUAACCACUCCCAAACAGAACCACCAGCUAGGAGGAAAGUGCUCAAAUACUGUGCCUAGGGGAUAUUUCUCAUUAAACUACCAUAAUAUGUAAAGGGCUCUGGGUUCAAUCCCUUGCCCCUCUCUCUCUCUCUCUCUCUCUCUCUCUCUCUCUCUCUCUCUCUCUCUCUCUCUCACACACACACACACACACACACACACACACACAGAGUUCCUGUUGUACCCCCAACAUUGCACUCUCAAGGGUUUGGAGGCCUUGGUGGUCCUACCUGCUAUAUGGGUCUAUAAUCACAUACUUUAUUACUGACCAUGGUAACUUCAGAGCUUUGCCCAGUGAGGUCCUUGUGUUUCAGCGGACUUUGUAUUUCUGAGACUUGCUCCAUCAUGGCUACUUGCUGUAGGGAAGCCACACAUCCGCUCCCGUCAGAUUGCUACGUCAGCAUCCCCCUUAGGGCGUUUCCAUGUGUCUCUGGGUAGAAGUGAUUUCUUCCCUUUGUUUCAAGUUCUUGAUCCCAGUAAGGAGUACCAUUGCAGGAGUCAGCUAGUAAGUGUUUUUCAAUUUGAGAAAAUUGAUUUGAAUUGAAAUGUUUUGCUCAGCAAUUAAACUCCGCACCAUCAUAACCAACACUGGGUGAACACAAAAACAACGCAGAAUGCUGUGUGCAUGUGACUUCUCCUACUUAGUUCAGAAGUGAUAACAAGUAAAGACAUUUCAAAGAACUUUCUGGCUGAAACUGUUUCAGAGGUCAUUAAGUGAGAGGCCCCCUUCUCGAAUGUCUGAUCUCAGCCAUCUCCUGUGUGUGUCUCCAGGAAUGGUACCCUAUGUCCCCCUAAUGCAAGCUUCUCCCUAGACUGGCAGCCCUAGUGCAAAUAUUCCAGCAGCUUCAUUUUCUAGUCGUGUUUGACUUCAUUUGAAAGACUCUGGGCUCAGUCAUUUCAUCAUUCCUUUCCAUAUUUAAGGCUAAGCUCAGUUGAGUCUGUCUGAGCUAAACACUACUCACUUUUAAAUAUUUUCCAGACUUGAUUAUCUUUUCCAUCUUCUUGCAUUGAUUAAUUUUGAGUCAAUGUGACAGAAACACCUACAGAACACCUUAAGGGACCAGUUUUAGUCUAUCAUGGUGGGAUGCAUGGCCUUGGAAGCAUGUGGCAGGGUCUGCUCACUGUACAGCAGAUAGGGUGCAGAAAAACACCCCAGGUGACUUCUCGGCCAGCCAGGCCCCACUUCCAAAAGGUUCCAGUCUCACAAAAUAGUGCCACCAGCCUGGGGAGCAAGAGAUCAGAACGGGAGGCCAUGGGAGGCAUUUUCAGUUCAAACCACAACUUUCUCCUGAUGUCAGUGCCGUCCCCAGACUCGGAUCUUUCACAGUUGAUUAAGGAGGGCUGCAUCAGUAGUGGACACAGAUUAAUCUCCCAGCAGUGUGAUCUGGCCCCGUUGGCAGUUCCAGCAUGCACAGACGCCCCUAGACCGGUGAUUAACCACAGCUGCCCAUUUCCCUCACCAGCCAUUGCUUGUCCUAACCCCAGGCCGCUGAACCCACGGCCUUCACGACGGCUAAGCUGCUCAUUGCGGGUUUGAUCCUGCAGCCCGGCAGACUGGAGUCCUUGCGCAGUUCCCGAUGCUGCAGGACAUCCUUCCUAGCCUUCUUUUUUCUUUCCCUUCCCUUUAACUGUAGACUCUGACAGAAGGUUUGCAGAGAUACGGUGUCCACUUGAGAGGCGGGCAGGCUUUGCUUCAGAACUGCUGCAAGGAGAAAGAAGUCUUUGAACACCAGACUUGGAAGUCAUGUAGAAUGAAGCAAGCAUCUAAUCUCCAUUUAAGCUCAAUCCCAAACGUUUUGCAGCCCAUCCCCACCCCGCCCUGUUUUGGGUGUUUCUUUUGGAAAGACAAGGAUAAUGAACAGUUGGCAUAAGCGCUUUUUGGCCACAGGAAAGCAGGCUGCAGAUCUUGCUGUUGACACCGACGUCUGUGAUAGGAGGCAUAAACCAGAGCUGAGUAACCAGAAUGGUCCUGCAAGCUGAGGUCCGCCCCACUCUUGAGGAGCAGGGAAACCACUUCCGGGCCAGCUCUUUCUAAGCAUGCGUGCAUCAGAGCGCUUUUCCCGGAUUUGUCCUGGAUGUUGGGGUCA